UGGCUCAGAGGUUAAAGUGUCUGCCUGGAAUGCAGGAGACCAGGGUUUGAUCCCUG
rnacentral:tRNA from 1 species